CCGGUGGCGGGCGGGCCGUUACCUCCCGCGCAUGCUCUAUGGGGUAGAGACGCUAGGCCGGCACUGCCUAGGUGGGCCGGGCGGUGCGAGGGUCGCCUUUCAGCCUUUACCUCUACCCACUGAAAUGGAGUAGGUCGGUGAGCGCCGAUCUGCUGGAGAAUCUCAUUAUCCCAUCGGCGCUCUGCCUGCUCCUGGCCUCCAAGCCUCUGAAGCCCCUCGGGUUUCAGCUGCCGGCUACCCUCGAGCCCGUGGUGCCCACGAGAGAGGCGACUUUACGUCAGCGGCCCUGGGCUGAGAUUUGAGAACGCGACCAAGUGGAGAAUGUUGGAGCCAGAUUUUAAAAUCCUUGUCUUCCUUCUGCGUGCUACUUGAUCUAAAUGAGAUACGGCAAAGUCACAGAACCUGUUUUUAUGUUUUUGCCUGAUUCAUACGGGCUUCUCCGGUGAAGAUGGGCCUGAAGUAACGCUUGGGUUGCUUCUGACGUUAUAACUCAUCCUGUAGCUGCAGCAACCGUGGUCCUUGCAACCUCAUAAAAAUGUUGCCAGCAUUGUUUCGAUAGUGCUGCUUAAUUCUUGGAAGGCCUCUUUGCUUUCUUCCCUGAGGUUCUUCGGACUUCACACAUUCCAGCAGUAGCUCUCUCAGCUCCUGUCCUGCACAGCUUUGAAGUGCUGGUGAUGUCAUUGAACUCUUAAGUGCAAGAUGAAACAAGUCUUUCUGGGGUUCUAAGUAGCGUCUUCAAAGUGUCUUCUGUAAAGACUUCUUCAGACUGUCAAUAGGAAGACUGAUAAACUCAGAUGCGAGAGGAAAUCGAGUCAUCAUCAAUGGC
rnacentral:lncRNA from 10 species